rnacentral:rRNA from 1 species
GACGAACGCUGGCGGCGUGCCUAAUACAUGCAAGUUGAGCGCUGAAGGUUGGUACUUGUACCAACUGGAUGAGCAGCGAACGGGUGAGUAACGCGUGGGGAAUCUGCCUUUGAGCGGGGGACAACAUUUGGAAACGAAUGCUAAUACCGCAUAAAAACUUUAAACACAAGUUUUAAGUUUGAAAGAUGCAAUUGCAUCACUCAAAGAUGAUCCCGCGUUGUAUUAGCUAGUUGGUGAGGUAAAGGCUCACCAAGGCGAUGAUACAUAGCCGACCUGAGAGGGUGAUCGGCCACAUUGGGACUGAGACACGGCCCAAACUCCUACGGAGGCAGCAGUAGGGAAUCUUCGGCAAUGGACGAAAGUCUGACCGAGCAACGCCGCGUGAGUGAAGAAGGUGUUCGGAUCGUAAAACUCUGUUGGUAGAGAAGAACGUUGGUGAGAGUGGAAAGCUCAUCAAGUGACGGUAACUACCCAGAAAGGGACGGCUAACUACGUG